rnacentral:snRNA from 1 species
AUCGCUUCUCGGCCUUUUGGCUAAGAUCAAGUGUAGUAUCUGUUCUUAUCAGUUUAAUAUCUGAUACGUCCUCUAUCCGAGGACAAUAUAUUAAAUGGAUUUUUGGAGCUAGGAGUUGGAAUAGGAGCUUGCUCCGUCCACUCCAAAAAAAAAAAAACCGCAGAGUAGACCAGGACUGACAACCUCUU